rnacentral:rRNA from 1 species
CUGGCUCAGGAUGAACGCUGGCGGUAUGCUUAACACAUGCAAGUCGAACGAAAUCUUCGGAUUUAGUGGCGGACGGGUGAGUAACGCGUGAGAAUCUGCCAUCAGGUCUGGGACAACCACUGGAAACGGUGGCUAAUACUGGAUGUGCCGAAAGGUGAAAGGUUAACUGCCUGUUGAUGAGCUCGCGUCUGAUUAGCUAGUAGGUGUGGUAAAGGCGCACCUAGGCGACGAUCAGUAGCUGGUCUGAGAGGACGAUCAGCCACACUGGGACUGAGACACGGCCCAGACUCCUACGGGAGGCAGCAGUGGGGAAUUUUCCGCAAUGGGCGAAAGCCUGACGGAGCAAUACCGCGUGAGGGAGGAAGGCUCUUGGGUCGUAAACCUCUUUUCUCAGGGAAGAACAAAAUGACGGUACCUGAGGAAUAAGCAUCGGCUAACUCCGUGCCAGCAGCCGCGGUAAUACGGAGGAUGCAAGCGUUAUCCGGAAUGAUUGGGCGUAAAGCGUCCGCAGGUGGCGAUGUAAGUCUGCUGUUAAAGAGUCUAGCUCAACUAGAUAAGAGCAGUGGAAACUACAUAGCUAGAGUACGUUCGGGGCAGAGGGAAUUCCUGGUGUAGCGGUGAAAUGCGUAGAGAUCAGGAAGAACACCAGUGGCGAAGGCGCUCUGCUAGGCCGUAACUGACACUGAGGGACGAAAGCUAGGGGAGCGAAUGGGAUUAGAUACCCCAGUAGUCCUAGCCGUAAACGAUGAU